UGGGGAAUUUUGCACAAUGGGGGAAACCCUGAUGCAGCGACGCCGCGUGAUUUAGAAGGCCUUCGGGUUGUAAAAAUCUUUUCUAUGGGAAGAUAAUGACGGUACCAUAAGAAAAAGCCCCGGCUAACUACGUGCCAGCAGCCGCGGUAAUACGUAGGGGGCUAGCGUUGUCCGGAAUCACUGGGCGUAAAGGGUUCGCAGGCGGAAAUGCAAGUCAGGUGUAAAAGGCAGUAGCUUAACUACUGUAAGCAUUUGAAACUGCAUAUCUUGAGAAGAGUAGAGGUAAGUGGAAUUUUUAGUGUAGCGGUGAAAUGCGUAGAUAUUAAAAAGAAUACCGGUGGCGAAGGCGACUUACUGGGCUCAUUCUGACGCUGAGGAACGAAAGCGUGGGUAGCAAACAGG
rnacentral:rRNA from 1 species